ensembl:lncRNA
AGGAAGUGGUUCCUUUUCCCCUUCGCUCUUCUUCCUGCUCUCUGCUCUGAGUCAUCAUGUGAUCCCGGGGAUGAGGAUGCCAGCAGAAGGUGUCCAAUAAGAUAAGUCUUAUAAAAUAUAUAGAUUCAUGAUAAUUAAGACUGAGCUAGCAGAUGAGAAAUCCUAGUCAUUGGCCAAGCAGCAUUUGUACCUAAUAUAAGUCUCUGUGUAUUAUUUGGGGCCCUAAUGCAGUGAGCGUAGCUCAAGUGGGUGGCAGAAAGAUUUAUCAUAACAGGGAAAGGCAAGUAAUUGGGGAGCAUCACCUGGGGGUUUGUGAGACAGGGCAGGAAUCUGGUUCUGAGGGGUAUGCUCUCAAAUUAGUGAUACCAUUGACAAUGGAGCUUAGCCCUACUGGGGACUCCAGGAGCCUCAGGAGAAUGCCACCUCACCCAGGGUCACAUAGCCCAAGCGCUAGGAACUUGGGGAACAAAGGUUCCUUCUUAUCCAUGGUUUUAUUUCCAUGGUCUCCAUUACACCAACCACAGUCCAUAAACAGUACAGGGAAAAUUCCAGAAAUGAGCCUUUCUUUCUUUCUUUCUUUCUUUCUUUCUUUCUUUCUUUCUUUCUUCUUUUUUUUCCAAGACAGGAUUUCUCUGUGUAGCCAUGGCUGUCCUGAAACUCCAUCUGUAGACCAGGCUGGCCUUAAACUCACAGAGAUCUCCGUAUCUCUGCUUCCAAAGUGCUGGGAUUAAAGGCAUGUGCCACCACUGUCUGGCUGAAAUGAGCAAUUCUUAAGGUUUAAAUAACAUUAAAGUUUGUUGUUACAAUUGUUCUGUUUUAUCAUUAUUGUUACAAAUAUCAUACUGUGCUUGAUUUACAAAUUAAGCUUUAGCAUGGGUGUGUUUAUACAGGAAAAAAACAGUGUAUAGCAGAGUCAGAAUUCGGAAAUUCCAGCACUCCCCUUGGUUAUCUGGAAAGGCCCCUCCCUCAGAGGUGUAGCAACUGCAUUUAUCCACACACUCUGACUGGUCAGUCAAUGGAAGCUGUGUCCAGAGGUGUUGGUUCCCCACAUCAUCCAGCCUUCCACACUUAGGGUCAGGUGAGAGGAAGCCCUCCGAUAAAAGUGGAUCUAGGUUUGGGCAAUUGGAAUUCAGUCUUGCCCAUUGUGAUAGUAGGAAGUGGUGGCAACCAGGGCAUUGUCAGCCUCUGCUUCUGCAGCAAAUGCUAAGGGCUUCAAGUUCUGUCUCUCAUAGCGCUAGGAACGAAACCAGGGCUGCACAUGCUCAGGAAGCAUCCACCCCGGAAGCACAUCAUUAGCCCCAGUCCACUUCACUUUAAAAUUUAAGUCUAUGAAUGGAUGAGCACAUGGAUGAAAGGGUGAAAAGACAGACAAACAGACACACAGACAAGACAAACAGACAGUUGUGCAGUAGGUGUUCACAGAGAUGGCUGGGUGAGCGUUGAGUAAACGGAUGCAUGGAUAGUGUAAUGCAUAGGUAGAUAGGUGGGGCCUGGGUAAAUGGGUGUCUAGACAGAUGGAGAGACGGACUGGAUCUUGCUGUACAGGCAAGUGUGUUGGUUGUUUAGGAACUGCGCCUGUGACUUUGUGGCUGGACAGUGAGAUGAGUAGAUAGAGUACACGUAGAGGGGAACGACGACAAGUGGACGGAUGACCUGGUUUAGAAAAGGAAAAGGGCUGGCUGUGGCUUAGCAGGCAGAACCUUGGCCUUCAUUUGAAGUGAACUCAGCUACCAUUACCCCAUCCCAUCUUGUCUCCCACUGAUCUGGGAGGACCCCUUCUCAGUCCACAAGCAUCCCAGUUCUGCUCUCACCUGGAUGGCCCCACAUCAAGACCCGUAUGGGGACCCCGGGUGACUGUAGAGAGAGUGUGACUUGGGGAAGCCUGCAUGAUGGAACGGAAGGAGAUUGCAAUACUUGGCCUUGUACCUAGAAUGAUGGUGUCUUGCCUGGGGCUGUCUGGGCAUCUGUCCAAGUGACAACAUCAUAGGGCUGGCUCUGGCUACCCUGCCCUAUGGGUGGAUGUCAGACAUAUCCAGGCUUGUCCUGCCACCCAAGCCCUGCAGUGGCUAAAGGACAAGACAACUUUCACAGUGGGAGCAGGGAAAGGAGGCUGACAUCAGGCAGGGAACCCACCAUCUCGGCAGAGCCCAGGAGAGUCCAGGGACACCGGGCUCCAGCCCAAAGCACAGCUGAUGGGCCCAGCUCUGCCAGGUUUCAUUGCCUGGGGCACAUUUUUAUGACUAAGGAAUAAUGAGAGGCAGGCGUCUAAUUCCCGGAUUUUCCUAGUGCAGCUGUGUGUGUGUGUGUGUGUGUGUGUGUGUGUGUGUGUGUGUGUGUAUGCUUAUGUGUGUGUAUACAUAGAUGUCACAUGUAGGUCUUAUGUGCUUGCUAUGUGUGUAUUCCAGAGUUUGUAUAUGUAUGCUAGGGACACUUUAGUACACAUGCUAUGUAUGUAAGCAUGUUUAAGCAGGGGCAGGUAUGAGCAUAUUUGUGUGCACGUGCUUGCAUAAGUAUGAACAUGUUUGCAUUUGCAUAAGCAUGUAUGUAUGUAAAAGUUGUCCAGUCUGUAUAUUUGGGCAUAUUGUUGCUGCUUGCCUGAAUGGAAUCCCCCCUGUCCUGUGUGUGUGGGGUGUGUGUGUGUGUGUGUGUGUGUGUGUGUGUGUGUGUGUGUGUGUAUGUGUGUGUGUUAGGCAGAUAAAAGAGGUCGUCAAGGAACAGGAUUCAUGGAAUAAAGAGUCCCAUUCUCUAGCUCCAUCCUCACCCCUUAUUCUACCCCAAGCUCCACCUCCUCACUUCCCCCACCCUCUCCAUUACUCUAUGGCUACAAACCAACUUCAAGAGUGAAACAAUGUUUCUCACUCAUUCCAGGCUACCCCCGGCCUCCAUGGUUUGUAUGUAUUGCCAGGAAUGUCAUAUUUGCCCUUUCUUUGUGAGGGGAAGACUUGUGUCUAAUUCUUUUUUAAAAUCCCUGAGCAUGGAACUGAAUCUGGUUAUGUCGUAGGAUGGAUGGAGGGAUGGACAGAUGUAUGUGUAGAUGAAUGAAUAAACAGAUGGGUGGAUGAAUAGAUGCAUGGAGAGAUGGAUGGACCAAGGACUUGAUAGAGGUGUAGAUGGACAGGCGCACAGCUGGGUACUUGUGUGAGAGCAUGACUAAACCCCACCGUUCUGCUUGAGACACUGGGAGCUGAGGCAAGUGCACCAAGCCUCUUCCCCACCUCACCUUCACUCUGGUGUGGAAAGAAAACCUCUUCUGGCUGCAAGGGCAACUCUGCAUUCUUCCCUCUGGUCACCCCUGCUCUUAGGACUGCUGGCUCCAGGUUGGCCACCUACCUCACCAAGGAGCAGAUCAGGGCUAAAGAGGCAUUGCUAAGUGGCUUAAGUUAGCUCCUGUUUGUGUUCCGGGCUUUCAAAGGCUGGGGAGACUGCUGAGGAGGGGCCUGACUUCAGGCCCACUGCUAAGUGGGCAGGGAUUGUAAACCCUGCAGACCUUGACUGCAGGCAGCUCAAAGCAAGGCCCUAGGAGUUUUGAGACAGGAAAAUAGUGUUUUGUCUUGUGAAUGAAUUCACUUGGCUUUGCCCUGGAGAGCAGGCAGGUGUCCCCAGACGGCUGCUUUGAGCUGGUCCAGGCAAGGGGGCGGGGCGCACUCAAGCCCUGGAUUACAGAGGCCAUGCAGAAGAAGGAGGCCUUUGAUGGGGCCCGGCCUGUUGUCCAGAGCUUGCUUUGCUGGUGGCUGGAGCCCCCUAAUGAGGGGGAAAGGGCUCCACUCUGAAGCAUUCCCUGAGCCUCCCCUGGGCAGCAGGCGGAGACCUCCUUUGAUGUUGGAGUCCUUAAGCCAAGUGGGGACUAAUUGCCACAAGGUACAGAAUGUUCUGGUUUCUUGGGGGGUCUACAGCUUGCUCACAAUGGCACACCGGCCCUGGGGUAGAGGGGAAAAGGCAGCCACCAGCCUCUCUCCUGAUGGAGGCAACUCAAGGACAUUUUGUUGCUUUUUUUCUCUUCGUGCAUUCAGAUCCACACACAAAAUAGGAAGCAUGCCGGAGUCCACGGCAGGUUUGUCAAAGGGUUCUGUUGGAAAGUAUUCACUUUGAAAAUCAGAACCGGUGUAGUGGGAAGGACAAUAGUCAUACAAGAGAUAGAUGACAAUAGCAGCCUGGUGCCAAUUGAUCCAGACUCCAGGCCCUGAUUUACCACUUGUAGUUGUUGAGUAUCUCUGGACCAUCCUCCACAAAUGGCAGAUAAUCAGGCUUGACACACAGUAGGACAUCUGUCCUUUGUAUCCCUUCAGCUGCUGAGACUUGAGCCAGAAACCAAACACAUGGGCAUAUUGUUAUGGUUGGUGCAGAACGCAGGUGCCGAACCUGGUUGAUCACGUGAUCAUGACCGAGGAAGAGGAGGGUUCCUCUGGCUUUUCAUGCAUGCCUCUGAGCUUCCAUCUAAAGGAAGAUGCCCUCACAGUCCUUGAAUUAAGCUUACCCCAUCCACUCCCACCUCUACCUCCCCAUGGAAUCUGGAGCCAGACAGAGCAAUUACUAUGAAAAGAACCGUUGUAGUCAGCAAUUGUAUUUUUACUCUACCAUGCACAGCACUUGGUUAUUGGCCUGCAUUCUUGCUAGUCUUCACAGGGAAGUGCUCAAAGGCUAGUAGGUCAUUUCACAGGCUGGGAAACCAAGACUCCAAGACAAACAACUUGAUCAAGAUCAUCCUAUGUAGGAAAGGAAGCACUUUCCAAUAGGCCUGCCCCAAUGUCCACAUCCUCCCCAGCUCUUUUCAGCUGAGCUGAGCAAGCUCCUUUGGGCUCCCUUUCUCAUCUGGCCAGCAGGAAUAACAUCAAUGGUUUCCCUCCAUCUCCCAGCUGCCGCGCUGAUUUCCCCUCUGGAAUCACUAAGAGAACCUUAGAGACAUAGAAGGGACCUCUCCCCCUCCCUCCCACAGGUACCAACACUGCCUCCACUCUGUCGACUCUGCAGGGGUGUCUUGGGGAGAGGAGACCGUGUCUAACUAAAAUUAUUCUUUGGACUGUGUUGCCCUGUGUAUCUCCAUCCUGGCUUUCUGGCCUGUGGAAGCUUUGAGGAGUGGAGAGAAGAGCUGUCUCUCCUCUGAAAGCAGCUAGCGAGGGAAGUAAUUUGGUAUGUGGUGAAUCCAGUAGGUGCAUGGCAAGGGAGUCCACCUUUGCCUCUGUCAAAGUCAGCAACCAGUAUGGGAGGGGGCCUCUGGGAUGUGGAGAAAGUGCCAUCUGUGUUUCCUGGCUUCUAUGGGAUGUGUUUGACUUUACAAUUAAGACACAGGCAUCCUCAGGCAUGCACAGGAUAGCUCUGAGGAGCCAAGUGAUGCAGAGCAGAAGCCUGAAUCCAGCAGACAGGACCUAGGUCCUAGGAAAGAGUAUGGGGCUGGAAAUGGACUUCAGACAUUGUCUGUGGGUGUUGCCAGAUAGGUGUUGCCCCAAAGGUCCCUCAUAAGAGGAGAUGAUUCCCACAAAGAGUGCUGAGAGGCAAUGCCACAGCUGUCCCUGAGCUGCUGGAGCUCUGCCUGGCCUUUCCUAGAAUACCUGGACAGAGGAAGGUCUAAGAGGCUCUGCAGUUUCUGUGUCCCCAAAUGUCACCUCUACAUGUUUUCUUUUUGAAAAAAUUAACACGGAAGCAACUUCACUGUUUUACAGCAAUAUUUGUCAUCUCCCUUCUGAAAUGUAUGUAUGUAUGUAUGUAUGUAUGUAUGUAUGUAUGUAUGUAUGCAUGUAUGUAUGUAUUCAGACUGAGAGAUGGCUCAACAGUUCAGAGUGCUCUGCUUUUGCAGAGGUUGCAAUUUCCAGAACCCAUAUCUAGUGUCUCACAACUGCCUGUAACUUCAGCUCCAAGGAACUCUGACUCCCUCUUCUGGCCACCUGGAGGCAUUGCAUUCAUGCACACAAACCCACUCACAGAUACACAUACAAACAUACAAAUAAAAAAGAAACAAAUAGAGAUAAGCUAAAAGGAGGAAAUAAAAAUGGCCAGAGAUAGCUAUAUACACAGCUGGCCUCUACAUCUGUGGGUUCCUCAUUGGCAGAUUCAGCCAAGCCUGUGUGCAUCUCUGUACUGAGCAUGCCCAGAUGUUUUCUUCUGAUCCUCUUAACCAAUGCAGUGUGGCUAUUCACACAGCAGUUUCGGUGUCCCGGGCAUGAGAAGUCACCCAGAGAUGAUGAAAGUUGACAGGAGGCUGUGCAUGGGUCAGAUGCCAACAUUGCUCCAUUGUACAUGAGAGACUUAGGCUCCUGUGGGUGCUGGUAUCUGAGGGAAUCCAGGGGCUAAUUGGCCAUCUGUGAUUGUACACAUGUAGUAUGGUGACCUGGUCUCUCCUACUUAAUAUUUCCGACAUAUGUCUGACUGGUGAUCUUAAACAAUUUCAUAGCAUCCCAGGAAUGGUCAUAGUUUGACGAUCUCCAAUUGUCGAUUGUUUGGGCUGGUUUGAGAGCUCUGCGGUGAGUUCGCUUUCUGGACUGGUCCUGCCCCCUCCUGACUGGGUGGUGAGGGCAUCUGCUCUGCCUGGGAGCACUGGUGUUUUUGAAGUCUCUGAUGGCACAGCUGUUCCCUGGGAAGACCUGUAACAUCCUACCACCCCUUGGAGUGUCCUGAAAGCUACUUCUUGUUCCUGUCACCAACACCAGGUUUGAGAAGUCACAUCUUAACUUUUGGUGAUCUGGUAGGGGAAAAUAAUACCUCUUUUUCAUGUGACGCUUUGGCAACUACCUCGAUUUCUUUAUUCAAUAAGAAUAGGGCGGGUGCCUUCCCUGUGUCUGGCUUCCCCUACUUCGGAGAGGGAUAUGGUGACAAAAGCAUACAAUCAAACAUCAAACAGAUGGCCUCCUGUUACACUGCAGCCUGUGUCAGGAGGAAUGGUGGCCCCAUGAGCUGGGCCAGUGGGAGCUUUGACCCGAGCACACUCUGAUCAGAUUGACUUUCCUGGCUAUAGGCAAUCAACCAUCUCAAUUUCAGAGAAAGUGUAGUGUAUUAGUCAGCUUUCUGUUACUGUAGGAAAACUCCUGAGACAAAUCAACUGAAAAAGAGGAAAUGUUUCUUAGGACUCGCAUUCUGUUGGCCCCAUUGCUUGGGGGGCAUGCAGUAAAGCAGAAUACCAUGGUGAGGGAGACAUGGCAGAGGGAGCUGGUUCACCUUGUGGUCAGGAAUGAAAAAGAAAAGAACAGACUAGGAACCCUCUUUAAGCCAGGCUUCCACUACCUGAAACCUCUCAGUAGGCCCUGCCUCUUGAAGGCUCUACCAUCUGCUAACAGCACCAACCUGGGGUCACAUGGACCUCGGAGGACACUUGAGUUCCAGAUGACAGCGUGUUCCAUAAACACAGCCCCAUGCUUCCCUAACUUCCAACCCUUCCAGCCAGACAUGUCCCACAAGGGCUGCUCAGCUUGCAGACACUGACUUAGGGCUCACACCAGCGUGCCCCACAAGGGCUGCUUCUUUGGUGAAGCAUCUUGGUGUUCACUUAGGCCUACUGCUAUGCCACAUUCUCCAGAGGAUGGCUCUGAGUUCUCCCUGCACAAAUGUCUCUCCUUCUCUACAUUUAAAAUGUCUUUAUAAGACCUGAUUACCAUACUAAUAUCAUCAAUCAUGGACUGGCUUGUCCCCUCCAAAGUACGUAGACAGGGUCAACUCUCUGCACUCCCCAGAGCAGCUGGCCUGGGGGAAGCCCUCACAGGCCAAUAGUGGCUCUGUCCUAUCCCCUUGCUUCAGCAUAGUUUUCUGCCAGGAGAAGUUUCUUAUGGUAUCAGAGGCUCCUAGACUGCUCCCCCAGUUCUUGCGUGAAUUCACAAAUAAGGCAACUAUGGUGCAGACAGAGUUAGGGUUUUGUCAAGUUUGCAUCUGUAGGAAGAGGUUGGAUGUGACUCAGUCUCUCUUGGGCAGCACAACAGCCAUUGCUCCUAUAUCAUGGUCAGAUUCAAAGUCUAUAUUUCUCUGGAUCAGCAUGCAUGGGAGUCCUGGGUCCUUGGUAGUGGUCUAAGAAAGGGUCUUGGCAGUGAAUAGUACCCCCAGUUGUAAACUGAGUCAGAAGCCUAACAGCUGUCUGUCCACCCAGAUAGGCAUGUGAGCAGUACUGGCAUAUGGCUCCAGUUGCGAUGGGUGAUGGGCUAGGCAUACUUUCCCUGCUGACUGAUGUCAUGAGCUCAUUAGAGCAAUGGGGUUUAUAGCACGAGGCAACUGUCCAAGCAAUAAAUUAAGCUGCACAAUUUAGCACUUAAUUAUCCUCUCUCUCAUCUACUUCACUCUCAUUCCCUGGGUGUCCAUCUGGACCUUCUGCUGGAUGGGAAGAUCUUCCUGGGCCUCAUAUCCCACAGUCAAUGCAUCACGCAGUCCCAUUGGUACCAUCUUGGAAACAUCCCCCAAAUACUUCCCCUUCUUCAUAUCCCAUGGCCUUGACCCCAGCCAGUCCGAAUCCUUCCACUUCCCUGGCUUCUUGGUCCCUCUGGUGUUAAUUCCCCUCUUCAAUCUGCCAUAACAUCAGGCAUUUGGUUUGCUUUGACCUGAAAUCCAAAGUCCCUAGCGUGUUGACAUUCAAAGCGGGCUGUGACCUUUGGAGGCAGCCUUCCUCCUACCUCAUCUCACCAUCUUGUUCCUCCCAAACUUGCACUGGGUACCAUCUCACACGAAAGAGGCCAGACCUCCAUACGAAGCACGCAGCUGGACUUCAGGCUACCAAACCUUUGCACUUCAGCUCCCUCCUUACCUCCCACAAUCCACUCAACUUUGUCACUCUACCCAUCUCAAUGGUGCUCAGCUUUGGGGACUUUCCAGUUGAACCCACAGUAAGAUUUCUCCUUUUUAAUAAUCCCUUCCCCACCAUCUCAUGGGCACCUCACCACAGGACUGCUGGGAAAACAAUGCCACCUGUCUGUGGAAGGCUACCUAUCUGAUGAAGCACUGUCCUGCUGAGCUCCUUCAGAGUCCUCACACCUGAAUAUUCACUCAAGCCCCAGGGGCCCUUUUACAGACCACGCUACAGAAAGAGAAACUGAGGCUUGGAUACCAGAGCCUGGUCUUUACUGGUCAAAGUCUACAUGAACAAGGAUAGUAACUUGGGGUCAGGGAACACAGGCAAGAUGACCCUGUGGGUACCAGAGAGGAGGAGGGUCUUGGGGACAGACACGGGUCCGCUGGAUCAGGGAUGUUGUUAUUUGAACCAGAGGAAGCUUGACUGUCAAAGGGCAGCACCUCACCCAGAAUUCUCUUCUUCACCCCUAUUUUACUGGAGGGUAGGUGAAGGUUCAAGGAAAGGGAGUGUGCAAGAGAGGUAGAGGUUACAGAGGAAGGAGCUGUGGGUACAGCUAGCGGUCACCCUCUCUUUGUUCCCUCUUCCCCUUUCUUACUGUUUGAAUCAACAUUUCCCAAGUUUCUCCUGUCUGCAGGAUAUGUAGGCUAGUUGUCAUCAGUACAGAGAUAGCUGUUGAGUUUGGUUGAGUUUGCUGGUGGUUGGGCCUGGUAUAUGGUGGACAGUUAAUAAGCAGCGUCCGAGUGGCUAAAUUAAUGAGUAAGUAAAGGCCACCGGGACUAUAAUGCAGCCCAAUUGUAACACUGUGAGCUCUAGGAUUGCCACAUUUCCUGGGGACCUAAAGGAGUAGAUGAAUGUGACCCAAGCCUUGUAGGAGGCAUCUUGGUUGUAAGCAUCACUGCACCCAUUUUACAGAAAGGGGUACUGAGGCUUACAGAGACUGUGGGACUGACUUGAGCUCUGUGAUUAGAAAGCAGUGCUCAGCCAUACUGGGAAAUGGAAAAUUCUGCAUUGUUGUGCAUGGUGUGUGUGUGUGUGUGUGUGUGUGUGUGUGUGUGUGUGUGUGUGUGUGUACAAAGAAUGCUUUCCUUUUGAUGUCUAAACAAGAGAAGGCUCCUUGAGAAGGCCAUUGAGCUCUGUCAGCUUCUGUUUCUGUAUUUAUCAACAUUCCAUGAUGUAUGGAUCAAGAAUACAUCCUCCAAUGGGACACUAGGGAGAUGCAGGGAAGGGCCAGGAGCACUUUGCAAGCCUGAAGCACCAAGCUGCCCAGUAGGCUGGAGAGCUGGUUCCAGGCACUAGGCUGGGUGAUAUCAGCCUGGGCCCUUCCCAGCAUCUGGCCUGGGUGGAGCAUCUGGUCCCCAGUUAUAUCCAAGUCACUGGGAAUGUCCCUUGUUUCCAUAAGGGGGAGCCUGUGUGCUGGAGAUCCCAGCUCAGCUAGAGCAAUUCCAGGGACCAACUCUGGUCAGGAGUGGCCAUUUUGGUGGCACCAGCAGGUGUCUGUCCUGAGGGAGAACCACAGAGUUUUGGUGAACUGCUUUCUCCCGUUUAUCUGUGUAGAGAACCAAGGAAGAUGGAUGAGCACAAGGUUGCGUGUGGAAAGAACACAGCUUUGGAGAUGACACAUUUGGGGCUCAAACUGGCUCCAUCUGGAACACCAUGUGGCCUUGGACUGUUUCUACCUGCUGGACCUCAGUUUCCCUGUCUGUAAAAUGGGGAGGCCAACCACCUUUAGAAGUAGUUACAAACAACUAUGACAGUGCCUAGAGCAUAAUGAAUAUGAAGCCAGGGAACAAAUUGACUGUGGUCAGGACGGUCAGGAAAGUCUUAGAGGCCACCCUGGCCUUUGCACAAUGCCCGAUGAUCCACCUGCAGCAGGCCCUUCAGACAGAGAGACGCCCACAUGAAGGUAUUCUGAGCUUGUGGCUGCAAAUACAGAGCCACUAAGCAGUGUUUCUCGAGUGCUGACAAAGCAGGGAGAGAGAGAAAGUAUGUGUGUUUGCAGGGGAGUGAGUGCAUCUUGGUUUAACUGCCUGUUCUCACUGAUGCAGCCCCUUGGCUGACACACAUUUAGCACAAUGUAACACACCAGGUGCUUCAUUCUCCACAUGCUACAGGCUUUGCUAAGAGUCAUUUUACCUUCUUUUAUUGGGAUCCUGCCAAAAAGCAAACCAAGUAUGCCACGGUCCCUCCCCCUGGGAGGAGAGCAGCAGUAUGGCUCCCUCUGCCCAGGCCUGGUGCUUCCAUCAGGGCAGGAUGCACAGUGACUGUCUACAGCCCUUCCACGGCCUCCUCCACACUCAUGGGUAUUUUGUGUUGAGACAGGGCCUUGCUACGUAGCCCCAACUUACCUGGAACUUGGUAUGUCAGUGAUUCUCAACCUUCCUAAUACUGUGACCCUUUAAUGCAUUUCCUCAUGUGUGGUGACCCCCAACCAUAAACUUAUUUUUGUUGCUACUUCAUAGCUGUGAUUUUGCUACUGUCACGAAUCAUAAUGUAAACAUCCGUGUUUUUCAAUGGUCUUAGGUACCCCAGUGAAAGGGUUGUUUGACCCCCUCCCCAGGGGUCAAGAUCCACAGAUUGAGAAACACUGCCAUGUAAACUACACUGGACUUGAACUUGUAUUUAUCAGUACUCUGUCUCUGAGAUUACAGAUGAGCACCAGAGAGGAGAACCAACAGAUGAGCACCAGAGACCAGCACCAUCAGAGAGAGUUAAGGUUUUUCCUAAAUAAAAAUAGCAUCUUCUCCCUGGUUCUGAAAACAAUGCAAGUACAUCAUCACAAGUCACCCAGCCAGGGCCACUGUUGCUGCUCUUCUGUGUCUGUCGGGUGCCCACACGACCCAGCUGCAGGUGCACCCUGCCUUGCUGCCCACUGCUAUGAUCUCCUCUAUCCAGGGGCUUGCCUUGGUCGUUCUAACUGUCUCCCUCUUUAUGAGAGCACAGAUCAGCUCAUUUAACCAAGCUCCUAUUGUUAUACACUUAUAUUACCUCUGUCUUCUUUUUUAUUCUUUUAAAAAAGAUUUUAUUUAUUUAUUAUGUAUAUAACAUUCUGCUUCCAUGUAUAUCUGCACACCAGCAGAGGGCACCAGAUCUCAUAACAGAUGGUUGUGAGCCCCAUGUGGUUGCUGGGAAUUGAACUCAGGACCUCUGGAAGAGCAGCCAGUGCUCUUAACCGCUGAGCCUUCUCUCCAGCCCCUUCUUUUUUAUUCUUUACCAUCUUGUUUAAAAACAAUUACAGAAUGCUAUCUUGGGGCUGCUGAGCUGGCUCAGGGGUGCCACUGUUCUUGCAGGGAACCUGUGUUGGGUUCUUAGCAGCCAUGUUGGUCAAGUUACAACUACCAAUGACUCCAGGGGACUUGAUGUCCUCUUUGCACUCAUGUGCACAAACCUACAUACAUAUAUAUGCAUAUACAUAAUAAAAUAAUAAAUCUUUAAGAAUAAGUCUCACACAAUACACAUAUAUGCAUGAUCUUGAAGCUGACCCAUCCAUUCUUCCUUUUGAUUGCCGAAUAGCCAUCUGUGGCAUAACUGCACCACACAUAACAAACCUUCCUCUAUCUUAGGACAUUUUCAUAAUUUAAAGUAUUAUUAUUAUUACUAUUACAAAAAGCUGCUACAAGAACUGGAUACUGUCAUGUAGAAGACUGCAGGUAGAUCUGUGUCUAUUGCCAUGCACAAAACUUAAGUCCAAAUGGAUCAAAGACCUCAACAUAAAUCCAGCCACACUGAACCUCUUAGAAGAGAAAGUGGGAGGUACCCUUGAACGAAUUGGUACAGGAGAUUGCUACACCAGUAUCACAGACACUGAGAUUGACAAUUAAUAAAUGGGACUUCCUGAAACUGAGAAGCUUCUGUAAAGCAAAGGACACAGUCAACAAGACAAAAUGGCAGCCCACAGAAUGGGAAUAGAUAUUCACCAACCCCACAUCUGACAGAGGGCUGAUCUCCAAAAUUUACAAAGAACUCAAGAAGCUAAUCUCCAAAAUACCAAAUAAUCCAAUUAAAAAGUGGGGUACAGAAAUAAAUAGAGAAUUCUCAAUAGAGGAGUCUAAAAUGGCUGAUAGACACUUAAGAAAGUGCUCAACAUCCUUAGCCAUAAGGGAAAUGCAACUCAAAACAACUCUGAGACCAUCUUACUCCUGUCAGAAUGGCUAAAAUCAAAAACACCAAUGACAGUUUAUACUGGAGAGGAUGGGGAGAAAGGGGAACACUGCUGGUGGGAGUGCCAACUUGUACAGUCACUUUGGAAAUCAGUAUGGUGAUUCUCAGGAAAAUGGGAAUCAGUCUACCACAAGAUCCAGCAAUUCCACUCUUAGUCAUAUACCUAAAAGAUGCACAUUCAUAAAACAAGGACAUCUUUUCCACUCUGUCCAUUGCAGCAUUAUUUGUAAUAGCCAGAACCUGGAAGCAACCUAGAUGCCCCUCAACUGAAGAAUGGAUAGAGAAAAUGUGGUACAUUUACACAAUGGAGUACUACUCAGUAGAAAAAAAACAAUGGAAUCUUGAAAUUUGCAGGCAAGUGGAUGGAACUAGAAGAACCAUCCUGAGUGAGGUAACCCAGUCACAAAAAGACAAAAAUGGUAUGUACUCACUCAUAUAUGGAUUUUAGACAUAAAGCAAAGGAUUACCAGCCUACAAUCCACACUGCCAGAGAAGCUAGGAAACAAGGAAAACUCUAAGAGAGACAUACAUGGUACCCUGGAGAAGGGGAAAGGGACAAGAUCUCCUGAGCAAAAUGGGAGCAUGUGGGGAGGGGAGAAGGAGUUAGGAGAAAGAGAGGGGGAGAGAGAAGGGGAGAGGAGGACAUGAGGAAGCUAGUAGGUUGAGUCAGGGGAAGAAUAGAGGAAAGCAAGAUAUGAGAUACCAUAACAGAGGGAGCCAUUAUAGGUUUAAAGAGAAAUCUGGCACUAGGGAAAUGUUCAGAGAUCUACAAGGAUGACACCAACUAACAAUCUAAGCAACAGUGGAGAAGCUACCUUAAAUGCCCCCCAAUAAUGAGAUUGAUGACUACCUUAUAUGCCAUCCUAGAGCCUUCAUCCAGCAGCUGAUGGACAUAGAAGCAGACACCCACAGCUAAACACUAAGCUGAACUUCUGGAAUCCAGUUUCAGAGAGGGAGGAGUAAUGAAAAAAGGGGUCAAGACCAGGCUGGUGAAACCCACAGAAACAGCUGACCUGAACAAGGGGGAGCACAGGGACCCCAGACUCAUAGCUGAGAAACCAGCAUAGGACUGAUCCAGACCCACUGAACAUGGGUUUCAGUGAGGAGGCCUCGGCAAUCUAUGGGGCCUCUGGUAGUAGAUCAGUAUUUAUCCCAAACACACAAAUGGACUUUGGGAGCCCAUUUCACAUAGAGGGAUACUCUUUCAGCCUAGACAAAUGGGGAGGGCCCUAGGCCCUACUCCAAAGGAUAUGACAGACUUUGAAGGUCACCCAUGGAAGGCCUCACCCUCCUUGGGGAGCAGAAAGAGGAUGGGAUUGAGAGUUAAUGAGGGGGCAGGGGAGGAGGGGAGGUAGAGGGAACUGGGGUUGACAAUGUAAAACAAGCUUGAUUCUAAUUUAAAUAAGAAUAGGGGGAAAAAGCUGCUACAAAUGAUCCUAUAGUAUUGGCACAAGUUUCUUUCCCAUCUGGUUCCAUAGCCAUAAAUAAACACACAGAGGCUUCUAUUAAUUUUAAACUGUUUGGCCUAUGGCUCAGGCUUCUUAUUGGCUAGCUCUCUCUUAAUUAUUAACCCAAUUUCUAUUAAUCUAUGUAUCUCCACAUAGCCUUGGCUUACCAGUGAUGUCUGGGCCCCUUUCUUCCUCAGCAGCUACAUGGCAUACAAUGGGUUAAUAAUUAAGAGAGAGCUAGCCAAUAAGAAGCCUGAGCCAUAGGCUAAACAGUUUAUAAUUAAUAGAUGCCUCUGUGUAUUUGUUUGGGACUGAACGCCUGUGGGACUGGGUGGGAAAGAAACUUCUGCCAACAGUGGAGAGAUUUCUGUGCAAAAAUACAUUUGUACUUCUCAGAGAUAACUAUGCUGGGUGUUGUAGGCCAUUUAGUAAGUGAGAUCUGCACUCUCUCAUCUUCCCAUCCAGGAUUCCCCAUCUCUACUUUCAUCUAUGUUCUAAUAUCCUCUAAGGUGUCCCCCCACCUACGUUCUACUAUCCUCUGAAAUGUUCCCCACCCUCAGUGGUCUUUGUCUAGUUUCCCAAAUGAUACUCCAAGUUAAACACAUAAAACCUAGAGUUUCUAAGCUAAAAUCCAUAUAUGAGGGAUCUUUCUGGACUUGGGUUACCUUAGUCAGUAUAAAUUUUUCCACUUGCAGCCAUUUAUCUUCAAUAAAUAUUAUAAUUUCAUUUCCCUUUACACUGGAAUAAAACUCCACUCUCUGUGUGUACCAUGUUUUUAUUAUGUAUUCUUCAGUUGAUAGAUGUUGUGUUAGUAGGUUUUUUUUGUUUUGUUUUUUGCUGUGACAAAACACCCUGACUAGGGCAACUUAGAAAAAAGAAAGGGUUUCAUUGGGUUUACAGUUUCAGAGGGCUGGAGUCCAUGGUGGCAGAGCAAAGGCACAGGGACAGGAACAGGCUGAGCAGCAGCUGAAAGCUCACACCUUGAUCUGCAGAUAGGAGACAGAGAGGGAGAAAGGAGACAGAGGGGGAGGGAGAGAGAACAAGAAGGAACAAUGGGAAUGGCACAAGUCUUUUGAGGCCUCAACACCUAUCUCUUCCCACAAGGCCACACCUCCUAAUCCUUCCACCAAAUGAGAACCAAGCAUUCAAAUACAUGAGCCCAUGGGGGCCUUCAGCUGAUCCCUGAAAAAGCUAGAAACAGGCUACCACCUGACCCUGUACCGUUCCUGGGCAUAUUCCCAAUGGGUUCUGAAUCCUGUUGCUGAGAUGCUCGCUCGCUCUUUCAUGUUCAUAAUUCACAAAGACCAUGACCUUUGUCUGGCUCUAGUGCUUCGGGGUGUCUCCUUAGCCUAGCUACUGAGCUGGCCAUAGUCAGUUGUAUCCAGUCCAGCUUCUGUUGCCUACCACACUAUGAUUAGGAAACGGUUCAUUGUUGGUUCAUGGGACAAAAGGAUGACAGCUCAAGAUGCCAAUUUGUGUUUGUUUUGACCAGCUCUUGAGGAACCCACUUGUUCACCCUUCUGAUUUGCUUCUAAUACCAAGAAAUUGUCAAAUGGUCCACAUGGAGUUGGCUGGCAGCUUCUCGUGUAGUUUUGUGAGCGGAUCUGUGAUUGCUCUCAGGCGAUCAUUGUCAACUUCUAAUGGCCUGGCCUGACACGCCUCAUCUUCAAGGUGUUCCUCUCCUUUGCAAACCUUUUCUUUUGAAAGUUUUUAUUUUGUUUUAUGUGUAUGAGUAUUGUGCCUGCUUGUAAGAGCUCCUCCACACUGCUGCACAGGGGGUUAAGUUCUAGCAUAUGGUGACUGGGGGACGUGAUCAUCUGGAGCAGUUAUUUUAUUACUGAUUUUCAACGAUAAGUUGAAAUGUGUUGUAAAAACAUGUGCUGAACUGCAGAAAAAGGGGGGGCAUUUAUAUUGGUUAUACAAUGAGUUUUCUUAGAUAUAUAUUAGGCUAAGCAAAAAUAUAUUUCAAAAAUUAACUUCACCUGUUUCUUUGUACCUUUUAGAAGUGGCUACUAGAAAUUUAAAAUAGCCCACUGUGGCUCGCUUGUGCGGCCUCCAUAGUGUGGAAUAUGAGCAGUGUGGGCCACUUUCUCAGCCAUGGUCAGCCGUGGGCAGUGACCAUGCAGGAGCCAGAGCCAGGAACAUGACACUGAGCCGCCACAUUAAAGGCGCUGGUCUCUGUGGUUCUGCUCUCCAAGGCCAGGGCCCAACCACAGGCCCCACAACAUGAAGAAAAGAACUCGAGGUCAGCGCGGCCUUUGCUGGACUCCAAGCUCCUCAGGAUGUUCGUGCACUUAUCCACAUUUGUUCCCUUGUCCAUGGACUAGCAGGAGGGGGACCUCUAACAGGGAUAUUCCCCUUUUAAUCAGCUUUUCUAGUACCUACUAUGUGCCCUAAGAAAGCUCAGCACACACUCAUCCUCAUCUCUCCCUUAUCUCCAGAGACAGUGAGCUGAGAAUAGCUGGGAGCAGUACAUUGUUCGGAGCACUUUUUAGGAGGCCGCUGCUUCCCAGGGAUGGAUUUCUCCUCUGUGUUAGUUCAGAGCAGUCUUUUCUUUCUCUGUCUUUCAACUUCCCCAUCUAUGGCAUGGGGACGGUGACAUCGCCUGUCCCAUUGGGUUGCUUUGAGGGUCAGAAGAGACAGGGCGAGUCAGGCACAAUUCUGGAUCCUUGGACUCUAGAGGCAAAGCUGCUGUUCCCAAUGGUAUUUAUUGCACUAGUUAUAGUUGUUGUUUUCAAAUCGCAGUGAUUCCAAAGGUGUUCCCAGAAGAAUAACCCAGGGGACAAAAAGGAAAGAUCUAGAAGACUUCUGCAAGUGAUGAAGGAUAUCCUUGACUCUAUAAAGAGUUCAUUAAAAAUUCAUAUCCAAGUGGUGCACAUCCUGGCUGCCUGGGGCUCCUGCCAAGAAGGGCUGUGCCUGGGCUCAGUCAGUCAAAAAUAUGGUGGAGACAGCUCCAACUGCUGCCCACCAGCCCAGCCAUUCCCUGCCCACAUCCCCGGAUACUGACCUCUGCCUGCAUAUGUCUGCCACCUUCUGCAGUAGGCUUCUCCAGUCUAGGGCUGUGACCCUUUAAUAUAUUUCCUCAUGUUGUGGUGACCCCAAGCAUAAAAUUAUUUUGUCUUCACUUCAUAAUUGUAUUUCUGCUACUGUUAUGAAUUAUAAUGUAAAUAUCUUCUAGAGGGAGUUGACAAAGGGGUAGUGGCCCACAGGUUGAGAGCCACUAAUCUAGUAGAAGCCACCAGGCCUGAAUUCAGGGCAAAGAUAACAGCACCGGAAUGAUGGUCUUGGACUAGAAGUGAGCAGGUACCAUGGAGAAACCUUCCAUCCCUAGGCAAUGACCCAAAGGUGUCAGUGUGUGUUCCCUACUGACCAACACCCAGAUUUCUCAGUUUUGGGUUGCAGUCCUGUACAGUCACUAUUAGUUUGAUAAAGCGCCCUUAGUUCAUUGUUAUGAACACAUAAACAAGGAAGAUGAAGUUCAAGCUUUGCUUGGGGAAUCCAACUCAACAUUCCCUUCCAAGAGAAUACAGAUUGGAUGAGGUGGUACCUCUGCCUUCAGAACUCCCCUCUCUUCCCGUCUUCUCUCCCACUCCAUCCCCACACGACUGUACAGUAACCAGGUCAAGAAUAGUGAGCUAGGCAGAGGGAGUUAAAGUUUUCCCGCUUCCUGGAAGUGAGCUAGAGAAGCUCUUGGUCCUUGUGACGGUUAGUGUUGUUAACCUGACAGAUCUAAAAUCACCUGGGGGAUGGGAGUCCUAAGUAUGACUGUGCUAGGCUUGGCUUGGUAGAGCUAAUAGAGGGGGAAAACCCACCUGCUGUGGGCAGGACCCUUCUCUGGGUCCUGGAAUGCGUAACUGGAGAAAGGGAAUUGAGCAGCAGAAAAUAUAAGUUCACCUCCUUCUGCUGAGUGACAGUAGAUGCCAUGUGAACACAUAUUCUCUCUUUUUUUAAACUUUUAUAUAUUUUUAAUUUAACUUCUUUAUUGAUUCUUUGGGAGUUUCACAUCAUGCACUCCAAUUCCACUCACCUCUGGGUCCCCCAUAUCUUCCCCUCACCCCUGUAGCACCCUCCAAAAGAAAAUGAGCAAAGCAAGUAAACAAACAAAAUCAAGAACAAAACAACCGCCCCCAAAGAAAAGAAAGAAAAGAAAAGAAAAAAAAAAAAAAACCUCUUCGAUUCUCCCUCUUUCCCACCUCUCUGACAUCUCUUCAUUGAUUCCUGGUGGCACUGGAGGCCUUGCUGUGUCACACAGCAUAGCCUUUUGUCCUAUCAGCUUUACUAGCAAAUGUUCAUUGCAAGGAGUCACUGGUCUGGUUCAAGGCCUCUAGUUUCUGGUACACCAUCAUCACUGGAUCCUCUGGGAUAUCCCAUGGCCAUACUGAGUCUUGGAAAUCUUGUGGGUAUUGUUUCACAGGACCAGUUUCUUCAGAGCUCCAGCAGGUCCUAGACAGGGUAGAUGCUAGGGUGGGCCAACCCAAGGCCUGACUGUGGGCCUGGGUAGUAGCUAAACUGGUCAGUCCGGCUACUGUGGCCACCUGCCUCAGGUGAGGGGUGGAGUCAUCUCUCAUAUGCUGUCAGGAUCCAUUCAUUUGACUGUGGUGUAGGGUGGAUCCAUCUCUCCAGCUUGCAGGGGCCAGCUCUCUUGCUAUAGUAUCUGAAGGAACCAGCUCCCCAUUUCGGCAGCCAUAACAGCCUAGCACGUGCUUGCCUGACCUUGCCUUGGUCACUAGGAGGUCAGAUGCCUGCCCAUUUUGGCAGCCAUGACAGUCUAACACAUGUUUGCCUGACCUUGCCUUGGUCACUAGGAGGUCAGAUGCCUGCCCAUUUUGGCAGCCAUGACAGUCUAACACAUGUUUGCCUGACCUUGCCUUGGUCACUAGGAGAUCAGAUGCCUGCCUCGUGGCAAGGAACCAAUCAGAAGUUAGCUGGUGGUGCUAUGCUUUACGGCUCUGGGUGUGCUUUUCGGACAAGUGCACAGCAAUGAUGCACAGAGCAUAGCAAUUGCCCUGGGAGGGCCUAUGGGCCAUAACAACCAGUUGACCAAUCAAUACAGAGCAAGCCUGGAGGCACACCAAUCCUGAGCCUGUGCGUACCCCUAGACACUCCCCUUACACUGCCCUAUAAGAUCUCUAUGCUGUGGCUUCGCAGCAUCUUUCCUAGCCAUCCUCCAUGGUGGAUGGAUGAAAGGCCUGAGCUAACAUGGAGUUAGCUCAUUAAAAAACUGCAAUAAAGCCUGGUGCUUUUUGCAUCAAGCUUUCGACUACGCCUGGUGAUUGGGGUCAUUGCAGUCCUGGGCCAGCAUCCUGGGGGCCUGAGCUUCUGGGGGUCUUUCACACACAAGCCCAGACCCCUGGUAUUGGCAUGGCCUUCGAUGGUCUCAGGAGAUACAAACAUCAACACAGCCUUUAUUUGUUUUUGAGACAGAGUCUCACUAUAUAGCUCUGGUUGGUCUGGAGCUCACAGAGAUCCAUCCAGCUCUGCCUCCCAAGUGCUGGGACUAAAGAUCAGUGCCACCAUGUUCUGCUUGUUCUCCCCUUAUUUAAAAAGUUGUUAUCUUUAAAGUAGAGUUUCUCUUUUAGUUGUGUGUCUUGUGUCAUUUCCAGAACCCACUUGACUCCUUCAACUAGUAAGAGCACAUGGAGCAUCAAGAGAGGGGGAUGGAAAAGCUGUGACUGACCCAUCCCAUCCAUGAAAAGCCUGACAGCUCUGAUGAUUCCUGGGGAUGGAACUCAGAGGGAGAAUCCAACAGCUCAAAGGCCACAUCAAAACAAGUUUCAGGGUUAGCUGAUGGUUGUGACUGCACACUGAUGACAGCUGCUUCUACACUGUCACUGUCUACACAGCUGCUGUCUAUACUGCUGUCUACACUGCUGCUGCUGUCUACACUGCUGCUGCUGUCUACACUGCUGCUGCUGUCUACACUGAUGAUGCUGUCUACACUGAUGAUGCUGUCUAUACUGCUGCUGCUGUCUACACUGAUGAUGCUGUCUACACUGAUGCUGCUGUCUACACUGAUGAUGCUAUCUACACUGCUGCUGCUGUCUACACUGCUGCUGUCUACACUGCUGCCUCGGUCUGCUCUGAUGCACCACCUCUACACCACACCACCUCUACACUCCAUCUACACUGAUGGAUGCCAUCUCUACCAGUGCCUUUUAUUCAUUCCCCUGGUGCCCUGAUAAAGUGCGGGUAAGGGCAUCCUUGGGCCUUCUCUUGGUUCCUGGAACUCCUCCUUAUCUUUGAUACAUCUAAAUUAAUUUGUAAUUGACAGUUAAAGAACUAAACUCUCUGGCUAAUUUUAGAUAAGUCGACGUGUUCCCAAGCUGCUAUUUUUUUUAGCCACUCCUGGCCCUCAGCCAUGACCUAAUGAUUCUGCCAUUAGCAGUGUGGACAGCUCUGCGCCUCAGAAACACAGCGCUAUCCACAGUUCGUGUCAACAGCCUGCUCCUCUUUAAAGUCACAAACCCUCUGAGUUCCAGAAGUGUCUGCUGCUAAAUUUGGAUCCUGUCUUUGGUAAUUGUGCUCCUAUUAGGCUGAUGAGAGAGUUAGCAGAACUGGGCCUUUGGGCUUCUGCCCACAGUGUGAGCCAAACAGGAAAUGAUUCUGUGAACUUGACUUCUGAGAUGUGUAAAAGGCCUGUCCAUCACUUUGCUCAUGGCACAGGCACACUAUCAAAAUAGCAUGUGCUGCCUUUCCCAGGAGAUGAACUCUGGGCCUGGCAGGAACCCAGGAUUCAGCAGGAGUGAAAGUCUUUACUGGAAAAGGGGUGGCUGCUCUUUGAUUCUCCUGGAGUCCUGGCAAUGGCCCUUGUGGUGGCCACAACUUUGCCUGACAGGCUAAAUUCACUCCUGUUUGUGGAGAUGUGGCAUGGAAAGUCAACAGAGUAUGACCUCUGGAGGUAGAUGAGCCCAGGUUCAGGCCUUGUGACCUCUGGAGGCAGGGGAGCCUAGGUUCACACACUAGGGUUACCAUUUAUAACAGGAUGAACUGGGAUGGCCAGCCUCACUAAUGAUGGAUGAUAUCAUGUGUGGAAAGGACUGAGUUCAGAGAGCAUGUACAGGAAGAAGGGGCUGAGGUUCUCUCUCUGGCGCCAAUGAUGCACUUGACAUGAGUUUCUGAGUAUGGUAGUCAAGGUCCUCUAGAGAAACAGAAUGUAUAGAAUGCAUAUGUAUUUGAAAAGGAGAUUUACAUCACUGUUUGCGUAAUAGGGGCUGGGGAGUCCAACAAUGGAUGUUUGCAUAGAGGAGAGCCCAAGAAGAUUGCAGCUACUCAGUCUAUGAAGCUGUGUACCUCCAUAAUCCCAAUGUAAUGCUGAAACCUAGAAAGAUUCUUGGAGAGCUUCUGGAAUUCAGUCUACAUUAGAAGAUGAAAGGAAUUGAAGUCUGCCAUCUGUGAAGUGUAACAGCAGUGUAGAUUCACUCAUCAGCAAGACACAAACAACAAACACUGCCUAACCUUGGCCUCUUCAUGUCUGGGCUGGCUGGUUGAUGGUGUUGCCUACUCUGAGAGAAAGUCUUACACUGUCAAUUAAUACUUUCUGGAAAUACUCUUUACAGACUUGCCCAGAGUCACGUCUCUUAACUGAGCUCUCAUCCAGUCAAACCGACAACCAAGACUAACCAUUAAACUUGGAUUAGGAAGUUUGCUUCUCCUUCUGUAAAAAGAUGGCAAAUGAAUAAUCUGUGCUAUUCAUUUUAGUAUUGAUCAACUGAAAAAUCUAAAAUCUAGUGAUAUAUUUGUAAUGUCUGUCAUGGCUGAGUAGUAGGUGGUUAAGAAGAGCAUUCCAUGCGUUUCUGUCUCCCUUCUGGAAUGUAAGCUCUGAAGCUAAACUUGAACAAUAAUCCAAAGCAUUUUUGCUUCUUAUUCUUCAUAAGGUCUAUUCUAAUCCAAUGGUUGCUGGGUUUUAAACACCCAAACCCCACAGAGACCUUGAGUUUCAAAAUGGCAGACACUAUAACCCGCAAGAAAAACAUUAAUAAUCUUACCCUAUAUAUAAAGGAUUGACAUCUCAGAUUCGGGGACAAAUUGCCCAGAAUCCUGCAGUAAGAUGAUAGAAGAUAACAGGUACACUGUCAGGAAGGCCUGGACAGAAGUCCUCAUGUUACUGUCUGUGAGAAGUGGGAAUGUACUAGGGUGUGGUCUAUACUUGUCCCAGAAGGGGUUUUUCCAGCUUUGUUUCUGUGAUUCAGAACACCCCCACCCCAAAGAAUCCCUCAGACAGCAUGAAGAGUCUUUUUAGGCUUCAACUCUAGCCUAUGCAAUGACCUUCAGUAGGUCACUUUUUAGGAUCUUUACCCAUGCUGUGUGCCCAGCUCAAGAGACGCAUCCCCCGGAGUACAGGAGCUGAUCAGCAGACCCAGGUGUCCUUUCUCAGGACAUGCUAAGAGAACUCCAGAGAUCUGAGGUCCAGAGGGGCUUUCCCUUUAAAAGGCAUCAACAAGGAAGUGUGUGUGUGUGUGUGUGUGUGUGUGUGUGUGUGUGUGUUGUAUCUAGGGGAGAAAUAUUAUAAUAAUGGGAAGAACAAGGCAUUUUACUGACUUGCAGAUGAAAGCUGCCUUUAGUUGGAUUUCUCAGCCUUCUACACAUCAAUUCAGCUGUGCCUGGAAAAAUACUUAACUUGCCACAGGAUGCCAAGUCAUGAGACAGGGAGAGAGAGCACAGGAGAGAAAGAAACAGAGACAGGGACACAGAGACACAGAGAGUUGGAGACAGAGAGGCUAUUCUGGGUAAAACCCCGGCCCUUUCCCCAGAGCAAAGGGAUUAUAGGAAGGAAGGCGUCCUCUUCUUGGUGGCAGUCUCUUUAUUUGAUCUUCAUGUGAUGCUGGAAGAAAGUCAGAAUGAAGGGCUUUUGCAUGUUAUCCCAUGAGAGAUGGAGAGAGAAAACAAAAAGGAGGAAAGAUGGAAAAAGGCAGGACAGGGAAGAAAAGGGCAGAGAGGAAAUGAAAAGGAGAAAUGGGGAACACUGUGGAAGUGAGGAGGUAGCAAGUGAGAAGGAAUGAGGGAAGAGGAGAAUGAAGAGAGGGGAGCAGAUUGAGAGAGAGAGAGAGAGAGAGAGAGAGAGAGAGAGAGAGAGAGAGAGAGAGAGGGGAGCCAGGGAACAGACUGGUGGUCACAAAGACAGAAGGACAGGGAGUGUGCAGAGCCUCCGUCUCUCCCAUCUCCAAUCUGCCUAUAUGGCAGCAUGGCCCCUGCAUCCAUGGUGCCAUGUGUGCUUGGUUCUUAUGUGAAGCCAGAGGACAGUGCCGAGCCGGCUCUGAAUCCACAGCCAGAGCCUGAGCUUGCAGGAAGGAGUCUUCAGCUAGAUGCUGUAGAGAGGUGAGCCCGACCUCAGAGCAGCAAGCACCAACCCUCUGUGCCCAGGACCCCAGGAGAGGGCUUCUAACUGAUGUGGCUAGUCUAAGGAUCCAGGCAGAGCUGGAUUUGAGUCUUGAUCUAUUUUUACCAGUAGCUCUAGGCAUGUGGCUUUGAGUCUCAGUUUCCCCAUCUGUGACAUGACCCUAAUAUGAAAACAGGUCUGGUGGGUGGAGAAGACUGUGAAGAAACCAAAUAGCCAGGGCUAAUUCCAAGGUCAGAAAGCUGCAAACCAAUGCCAGGCAGCUUGAUUCAUGAGAGAAGACCUUUGUUUCUUCUUCUUCCAGCUUUGGCAUUUUAAAAAUUUAUCAGUGAUGCUGGCACCAGGAGUUUUCUUAUAGGAAGAAAUUUCUAUUCUCGGUUUCUCAUAAAAGAUUCUGGCAGGGCACUGGGGAGGCUUCCCUUGAUACGCUUCCUUUCAUGACCUGGAAGUUAUUUGACUUUUUCUUCAAGCACCUGUGUCUGCUUGCAUUUCUGUUUGAUUGACAUGAUCGUUCAUAGAGAAAGGUAAACACAAAUAGCCAAGGGACAAGCUGCCAUGUCUUUCUCAGAACAAAGCCAAGUGUCCGUCACAUUGACUCCAUCACCCCUGCUGACAUAGAACCCAUGGACUGAUGGGGUUGCAAGCAUGUUUCCCAGUGAGCUCAAGGAUCCAAGCAAGAGGCAGCAUCUCUUGAAAGAGUAUGUUUCUGUAUAAGUGUUUAAACAAUCGGCUUUCGUUCCAGGCAUUGCUCGGAGCUUUGCAUGUUUUCCAAGUAUUUAGGCAACAAGUAGGUAAAAUGACAGUAUAUUCAGAUGGUAGAAGACUUGGGCACAGGCAGUUCCCCCUCCAUAUUCACAUGGGAUUGGUUCCAGUACCCCUAGGCCUGCUGUAGACACCGAAAUCUGAGGUCCCUUGUGUAGCCUUUGCAUGGCACCUACACAGCCUCUUGAACCCACUUGGGCUGCUUACACUUCCUAAGACAAUGCACAUGCUGUGUUGAUGGUUGCUAGGGGACACUAUUCAGGGUCAAGAGGAGAAAGGGUUCAGAGCAGAUGCAGAUUUUCUCUGAAUAGUUUUGAUCAUAUGCAAGUUGAAUUCGUGGGUGUUGGAUCCAUCAUCUUUCUGGAGGACCAGUUGUGUGCCAGUAGGAUGCCACAGGGCAAAUAGGCAGAAAGCACCUGGGUUGAUGGAGGCAGGGGCUCCACUGCUUGAGUGCCUGCUGUGUUUUGAGUCCAGGGCUGUGCCCCUCAUCUAGACAUAUCUGUUCACUCAGAGCAUCUAUGGCCCAGCAUGGGAAGUAGGCAAGCAGACAAAAUCAAGUUUUCCAAGACGACAGUGCAUCGUUCUGGGGACUCCAAGAGAAACAGCUUGGAGGAGUAUAGUAUGAUUCUGCUCCCUGGGAAGGUUAAGCCCUGGAGAACAGUGGUACAAUUGAGCAUUCUAGGCAGGAGGUAGGAGCCAUAGAGGUGUAGCUAGGGGGUCCCAGGAAGACUGUAGGGUUCUGGGCCACUGCAUGGGAGAGUUGAGGGAGAGAUGGAGCAGGAAGGAGCCCUGGGAUCAUACUGGGCAUGUGCUCUGGCUGCUGAGCGGAAGAAGUGGGUGACAGUGGCAGGGAGCAGGAGCCCUGGGCAGCUGUGCCCUAGAACAAGCCUGAUGACACUCAGGAACAGGAAAGAUGACUUUGGAGGCAUGUAGAAGUGGCUUGAAGUGUCUGAGUCUGAAGGUGGAAGGUCAGAGAGAGAGAGGAAAUGGAGGCAAUGGUGGUGUCUAGGAGCAGAGACUGGAUUUCGCGGAAGCCUUGCUGGAGAAAAGGCUGAGGAGACUCAGGAACAGCUGCAGCCUCCCGAAGAAGACUAAUUUGCAUAAACACUGGAUCUCUGUGAAGUUCUACCCCAACCCAUGGAUGGCUAAUUGGGUUUGUACAUCCAACGGCAAACAUUUAUGGAUGCUGGCCCCACUGGGACUCCCAGCUAGGGGCUGAGAGAAUGAGAAGAGUAGAUUCCUGCCCAGGAAGUGGAGAGUCACCUAGAAACCUUGCUUUAUAAAGGAUUUUUGUGACCUAGCAUCCUAUGAAGCAGAUGGUUGCCCUCCCCCUCAACCCACACUCCAGUUCCCAUUUUCCCUGGCUCAGAUAAUACACAUGGCUGCCACUGAACUCAGGCAAGAAGAGCCAGGCCUGAUUGACAGUUUCCUGUGUGCCAGGCAUAGUAUCAAGGGCUUGUCACCAACUAUCUUACCCCAGAAUAGAGUUCAAGGCUUGGCAAGCUUCCUGUAAAAGGCCAGGCAGUCAAACGUUUAGGCUUGAAGGCCAAAUGGUCUCUGGAGCGGCUAUUUCAAUCUACCAUUGUAACAUGAAAGCAGUCAUAGACUAAACAUAAAUGAAUGGACAAGGCUGCAUUCCAAUAAAGCUUUAUUUAUACAAAUAGGCUGUGGGCCAGGGUUGGCCCCAAACCAUAUUUUGUUAAUAUAAGAUGGAGUUCCCUACUGUAGAUGAGGAGACUGAAUGUUUCAGGCGGGGCCUGGGGAAUGGAGACCACUCAAACAGGGAGCUGGAGAGGCUUACUUCAAGUAAGAAUAGCAGAGGAGAGGAAGCAGCAGGGGUGGUGGGGGGAGUUGUCUCCUCCAGCCACAUGGGGCACUGCUUGCAAACUCUGGGGUGCAGGGGUGGCUGGACAAAUGCUGCCCCCCUUGGAAUAGUGGAAUAGUGCCUCACUGAUGAAGCUGAGGUGGCACCCUGACCUGACUGUCCCCUCCUGUGUCCACCCUUCAGCUGUUGUCCUUCCACCUGUCCCAUUGAAGACCAGGGAUCCAUUGAGGCAGGCAGAGAGUGGCAUGCUGGCAAAUGGAGGUCAUGCAGACCCCAGGACAACACAACCAAGGCUUGGGGAGGCUGAACAGCUGCUCACUCACAAAGCUCCUGAGCAGCAGCAACAGAAUUUCAAGUCACCCUUGUUCCAUCUAUCCUCCAGCCGCCAUGUUGUUGUUGUCUUAUGUAGCACUGGGCAUGAAACCCAGGACCUCAUACAUGUGUUCAGCAAGUGCUUGGCCUCACUAAAUUCUCUUCUGGGUAGAGUUUAACAUACGAGAGGUGACAGGCUACAGGAGAGCCAGGACGAUUUGCUGCAGGAGGAAGCUGCCCUCUGAGGAAAAGCAGCUCCAAGUGUGGCUCCUUGAUGUGACUUUAGGACUAGACGAGCCUGUGUUGAAUCCCAGCUCAGCUAAUGACUUGUGUCUUGGGGGCAACUCCUUUUACCUCUUGGAACCCCACUGUUCCUCUCUGGAAAAGUCAAUUAUCUUUCUUCAUACAGAAUGGUUCUCGAGGGGCACUCAGCAGACCUCUAACCCACUGGGAUGUUAGUUUACCAAGAAAAUUCCCAAGACCCAUCUCAGAUUGUAUGAACCCCAGAGACCAUGGCUGUGAUCAGAAAACCCAUGCCCUGUUUGGGUCCUCGAGGCAAUCUGGACUUUUCUAUCUGUGAGAACCCAGUUAUAUCAGUUUCUCCCCCCAUUGUUGUGAUAAAGCACUCCACCUGAAGCACUUGAAGGAAAGAAGACUUCAUGUGGCUCACAGUUCAAGGGCACAGAGCAUCAUGGUGGGGGCGUCAAGGCAGCAAGAGCUUGAGUUGCUGGUCGCAUCACAGUCACAGUCAAGAACAGAGAGGGAUGAGAGCUGUCACUCAUGCCUUUUCUCUGCCUGUGUAGGCCAGGAUCCCACCCUGUGUAGGCAGGAAAUCUGCCACCCAGGGUGGGUGGGUCUUUCCACCUCAAUGCCAUUAAGACAAUUUCCCCCAUGGGGAUGGAGAGGUGACUGCAUGGCUAAGAUCGCUUGCUGAUCUUGCAGAGGAUCUGGGUUUGGUUCCCAGCACCUACACACUGGGCAGCUCACAACCUCUUGUAAUUGCAGAUCCAGGGGGAUGUGGCACCCCUGCUGGUCUAUGUGGAUACUGCAUGUAUAUGGUGUACAUACAGACAAGCAGGUACACACAUGUACACAUAAAUAAAAGUAAGUAAAAUUAAAACAAAGAAAGGCAAACAACCCCCCACAGGCAUGUCCAGACACACAUCUUAUAGGUGACUCCAGAUUCUGCCAAGUUGGCAAUUAACACUAGCCAUAACAUCAGUCUUGUGGCUUUUUGUCAAAGUUAAAUAAACUAUAUAGUUGCAGAUUUGGCGUCAGCUAACCCAUCAUUUGAAAUAGCAGAUCCUGUACCAUGUUACUGACCAGAAUGAGACCUCAGUCAUUUGACCACCAUGGGGAUAAUAUCACCUUCAUUCCCCAUUUAACAGCUGGGAAAACAGAGAGCAGAGGACCCAGAUACCUGCCUGAGACUUGUAGAUAUCCACUGGCCCAGACACAAGCAUGCUGGCUUGUGUCCUCUCUUUUCCCGUAUGGUGUGAUAUGGUGGGAAGGCCAAUGGAUGGGGGCGGGUAUGUAGCAACUGGGAAAGUUCAGAGGCCCCAGGGAAAGCCCAAGGGCUGAAGGUGAGAUGUUCAAUCUCCAUAGGAGCUGCAGAAUGGGACCACCCAGUAGGACCUGGCAAAUCGUCUAAGCCUCUCCCCUGCCUUGGGACGGGCACAGCCUCCACAAAGCUCUGCAACCCAGCAGGGUGUGCGAAACCAGCCAGGGUGUAUGAUUCACACUAGGGGACUGGCAGCUUGCACACCGAGGCUUCCUCUCCUCCUUCUUUUAAAUCAAGCCAUGAGACUGGUUCAUGGCAAAGGGACCCAAAUACUCUGCAGAGAGAGAGACAUGUGUCCUCAGGAGUGCCAGGCUUCUCCCUGGCAUCUUUUUGUGGAGAUACUGAGACAUGUAUUUUUUUAAACUAAUAAAUCCUAAAUCUUGUUUGAAUCCCAACCCAGAACAGAUGCAAUGCAUAUGGUCAGUAGACCUGGAGUUGCAAAUAAAUACAUUUGGAAACCAAAUAUUUAAAAAGCAA